AACGAACGCUGGCGGCAGGCCUAACACAUGCAAGUCGAGCGGACCUUUCGGGGUCAGCGGCGGACGGGUGAGUAACGCGUGGGAAUAUGCCCUUCUCUACGGAAUAGUCCUGGGAAACUGGGGGUAAUACCGUAUACGCCCUUUGGGGGAAAGAUUUAUCGGGGAAGGAUUAGCCCGCGUUGGAUUAGGUAGUUGGUGGGGUAAUGGCCUACCAAGCCGACGAUCCAUAGCUGGUUUGAGAGGAUGAUCAGCCACACUGGGACUGAGACACGGCCCAGACUCCUACGGGAGGCAGCAGUGGGGAAUCUUAGACAAUGGGGGCAACCCUGAUCGAGCCAGGCCGCGUGAGUGAUGAAGGCCUUAGGGUUGUAAAGCUCUUUCAGCUGGGAAGAUAAUGACGGUACCAGCAGAAGAAGCCCAGGCUAACUCCGUG
rnacentral:rRNA from 1 species